rnacentral:rRNA from 1 species
GGAAGUAAAAGUCGUAACAAGGUCUCCGUUGGUGAACCAGCGGAGGGAUCAUUACCAGAGUGCCUUCAGGCUCUCCAACCCACUGUGAACAUACCUACGUUCCCCCGGCGGGCUCAGCGCGAGGCGGCUCCGGCCGCCCCGCGUCCGCCGAGGGCAUCUCAAACCCGAAUUUAUUCGUGUCUUCUGAGGGGCGAAAGCCCGUAAAACAAAAUGAAUCAAAACUUUCAACAACGGAUCUCUUGGCUCUGGCAUCGAUGAAGAACGCAGCGAAAUGCGAUAAGUAAUGUGAAUUGCAGAAUUCAGUGAAUCAUCGAAUCUUUGAACGCACAUUGCGCCCGCCAGUACUCUGGCGGGCAUGCCUGUCCGAGCGUCAUUUCAACCCUCGGGACCCCCCUCCGGGGCGGGACCCGGCGUUGGGGAUCGGAGGCCGCACCGGCCCCCGUCCCCCAAAUACAGUGGCGGUCGCGCCGCAGCCUCCCCUGCGUAGUAGCACACCUCGCACCGGAGAGCGGCUCGGCCACGCCGUGAAACCCCCCACUAUACCAAGGUUGACCUCGGAUCAGGUAGGAAUACCCGCUGAACUUAAGCAUAUCAAUAAGCGGAGGA